AACACAGCUUUUAGCUGUAAAUUUGAAGGUUUUGAACAUAGAAGUGACAUAAUUUGACUUAUAAAAUCUCACUCUGAUUGUUGUCCUGAUAAAUGGGACAAGGGUAGAAUUAGGGAAACCAUUUAAGAAGAUACUGCAAAGCCCAGGUAAGAUAUAAUAGUGCCUAAUAUUUGGGCAGUACAGUGAAGUUACUUGGAUUCUGAAUAUAUUUUGAAGAUAAAGACAAACAGCUUUGCUCAUGGAUUGGAUGUGUGGUAUAUUAGUUGUCUAUUGCUUCAUGACAGUUUAGCUCAAAACAUACUGAAUUAAAGCAACCAUUUAUGAUUCCAUAAUUCUUGAGGGUCAGAAAUUGGAGAGCAGCUUAGGUGGGUAAUUUUGGUUCAGGGUAUCUCAUCAGGUUGCAGUUAGGAGGCUAUCAGGGGCUCCUAUUAUCUGAAGGCUUCACUGGGGCUGGAUGAUCUGCUUCUAAGAUGGAUCCUUGCAUGGCUGUUGGCAGGAAGCCCCAGUCCCUUGUCACAUGGACCUCUCCAUCGGGUGCUAGUAUAUUUUCAUAAGACCACUAACUUCCCCCUGUAUUAUGAUAUAAUAUGGGAGUACCCCCAACCCCCAAAUUUAUAUGUUCAAAACCCAACCUCCAAUGUAAUUGUAUUAGGAGAUAAGGCCUUUGGGGAUGUGAUUAAGUUUAGGUGAGAUCAUAAGAAUGGGGUCCUGAUCCAAUAGGAUUAGUGUCUUUAAAAAAAAGACACCAGAGAGCUUGUUCUCUUUCUCCACCAGUGAGAAGGCGGUGUCUGCAAGCCAGGAAGAGAACCGUCACCAGAAACUGAUUGUGCUGGACCUUGAUCUUGGACUUCUAACCUCCAGAACUAUGACUCAUGGAAGGGAGAGAGCAGCCUGAUGGAGAAGAUGCUUUGGCAAGUGCACUGAAGAACAUCGUGGAAGAAGGAAGGGGAUAAAUACUGCAAAGGAGGACGAGGAAGGAGCACUGAGCUCUAUGUGGGGAAAAGGGGUCAGAAAGAGGGAGAUGCCUAUUCACAUGCAUGGCGUUUAAUAGAUUUACUAGGUUGUUUACUGUGUGAUGUAAAUCUCCUCCUCUCUCUUCUUGAAAUUUCUUAAGUGAAUUCUACAUUGUUCAUCCAUUCAUGUUUAUGUGCCAGCAAGCUUUGGGAGGGCUGUAAAAAUUAAAAAGGUUAGACCAUUGUUAGACAUCUGGGAAUCAUCUGUGUUAGAGAAGGUACAUAUCUCUUUCUCUUUUUUGGAUGGAAUACAUUUUAUUUUUCUAAAAUUUGUAUUUGAAGCUAUUUAUUUCUAAUUGUCAAAAAUGUGAAAUGAGAAAUUUAAAAAAUUUUUUAAUUUCUCUUGUCCCACCACUUUAUAUACUACCAGGAUUUGUUGAAUAAUUUGGAAUUUUAGACUUAAGAUAAUUUUCUGAUGUAUAUUAUAGAUUAUAGAUCUUCUAUUUCAAGAAUUAGUUUAUAUUUGAAUUAAAAUUUACAACUGCAUUAAAAUGUACCUAACUAU